UACGUAGGGUGCGAGCGUUAAUCGGAAUUACUGGGCGUAAAGCGUGCGCAGGCGGUCUGUUAAGACCGAUGUGAAAUCCCCGGGCUUAACCUGGGAACUGCAUUGGUGACUGGCAGGCUUUGAGUGUGGCAGAGGGAGGUAGAAUUCCACGUGUAGCAGUGAAAUGCGUAGAGAUGUGGAGGAAUACCGAUGGCGAAGGCAGCCUCCUGGCCCAACACUGACGCUCAUGCACGAAAGCGUGGGGAGCAAACAGG
rnacentral:rRNA from 1 species